UUUACGAAAUUACGAAGUUCU
rnacentral:piRNA from 1 species